UACGUAGGGUGCAAGCUUUGUCCGGAAUUAUUGGGCGUAAAGAGCUCGUAGGCGGCUCGUGGCGUCGCUUGUGAAAACCUGGGGCUUAACUCCGGGCCUGCAGUCGAUACGGGCAGGCUAGAGUUCGGUAGGGGAGACUGGAAUUCCUGGUGUAGCGGUGAAAUGCGCAGAUAUCAGGAGGAACACCAGUGGCGAAGGCGGGUCUCUGGGCCGAUACUAACGCUGAGGAGCGAAAGCGUGGGGAGCGAACAGG
rnacentral:rRNA from 1 species